CUCCUGACUCAAAUUCCUCCCUUUGAAAGUGAGGUCUCUUAUGAGUGACUCUGACUGGUGAGGUCCGAGUCACAUGUCUGUGCCCAGCUGCAAAGGAGACUGGGUAACCAAGUUUCUGAUUUCUGCCUUGGGGAGGUGUGACUCAUGAGGCUGGAGGCUCUGGAACUCGCCAAGGAUGUUUGUGUGACGUCAAACCAACUAACAACGAACAUGAUAAAGUCUGCUGCAAGGACGGUAAGUCCACAAGAACAGGAAAUGUCUUUUCUUUGCUGGUGGACCUCCUGCCCAUAGCUUGUGCCUGGCACAAGGUAGACAGUCCUUAGCUCCUUAUUGAAUGAAUGAAUAAAUGGCAGCAAGAGGGUGAUGCUCACUGUGGGGCUUGGACAUGAUGUCCUUUCAUUUACGGGUAUUUUGGGAGAGAGUUAAGCCACCUGGACAGCAAUUUGUGUCUUAUUUGGACCAUCUUGCCAACCAGUCUGCAAUCUGUGUCACUGGUCUGAUUCUCUACUCUUUGCGGGAUGGGCAGUGGUGUGGUCCCUGGGAUUAGGCAGAAAGCAACUGACCCAGUUCAACAGAGAGGGUUGAAGCAAACACGGUUAACGAUGAAAACCUGUAUUGAUUGCAACAAUCUCUACUUUACUCCACUGUUCCUCCAGCGGAUACUGUCUACCCAGCACCCAGUUCCCACUUCCUCCUCCCUCACAGGACCCCGUGUUUGUUUGUGCCUCUGGGAGAAGCUGGCCCCACCCCCAGCUCCUGGCUGACCUGAUUGGUCUGAGGCUCUGAACUGCCCUAGUCAUCUUGUGGUCUGGUCUGAAGAUGAUGGAUACACGAAAAAGAAUCACAGGACCAGGUUUCCAGAUCAUACCAGAUCUCCACCAGAUUCUGCCCUACCUCCAGGUUCCAGAGCUAGAGCAAAGUCACUGGGACAAACACCCCCGCCUCUCAGCUGAGGACACCACCCGAAGUUUGACCUGCGUCAGCCGUCCAUGUUUGCAGUUCCGCAGACCCAGCCUCUGGAGCCGGGGAGGAAGGGGAAGAGAGAAAGCACAGGGUUCCUCAGCGACUAGUUAGUUCCAGCUCCUGGAUUAAAUUUGCUAAGUGAUGAAACCCUGCCUCCUUCCUGUCUCCCUGUGGUAGGACGCAACCCUAGAUGAAGUAUUUAUGAAGGG
rnacentral:lncRNA from 1 species